UGGAUCCGUUGGAUCGGUUGGAUCAGUCGGAUCGGUUGGAUCGGUCGGAUCGGUCGGAUCGGUUGGAUCCGUUGGAUCGGUCGGAUCCGU
rnacentral:tRNA from 1 species